UACGUAGGGGGCAAGCGUUGUCCGGAAUUAUUGGGCGUAAAGGGCUCGUAGGCGGUUCGUCACGUCGGGAGUGAAAACUCGGAGCUCAACUCCGAGCCUGCUUCCGAUACGGGCAGACUAGAGGUAGGCAGGGGAGAGCGGAACUCCUGGUGUAGCGGUGGAAUGCGCAGAUAUCAGGAAGAACACCGGUGGCGAAGGCGGCUCUCUGGGCCGUAACUGACGCUGAGGAGCGAAAGCGUGGGGAGCGAACAGG
rnacentral:rRNA from 1 species